AACUUUUGGCAAUGGAUCUCUUGGCUCUCGCAUCGAUGAAGAACGCAGAGAAAUGCGAUAAGUAAUGUGAAGUGCAGAAUUCAGUGAAUCAUCGAAUCUUUGAACGCACCUUGCACCCUUUGAUAUCCCCAAAUGGUAUGCUCGUUUGAGUGUCAUUGUAACCUCACACUUCCGGUCUUUGGAUUGGGAGCGGUGGACUUGAGUGUUGCUGCUUUACCGUGGCUCACCUCAAAUGCAUUAGUGCAUCUCCGGAUUGGACAUAGUACAGCGUGAUAGGUAUCUUCGCUGGCACCUUACUUCAGAGGGUGGCUGAUCCAGAGCUCUGUGCUUUCAAACCGUCUUCGGACAAUAACUGACAACUUGGCCUCAAAUCGAGUAGGACUACCCGCUGAACUUAAGCAUAUCAAUAAGCGGAGGC
rnacentral:misc_RNA from 1 species